rnacentral:lncRNA from 1 species
ACACCAGCCAACCCGAGCGAACCUUCAUUGCCAUCAAGCCAGAUGGCGUACAGCGCAGCCUAGUGGGUGAGAUCAUCAAGCGAUUUGAGCAGAAGGGGUUCUACCUGGUGGCCAUGAAGUUCCUUCGGGCUUCUGAAGAACACAUGAAGCAGCUUUACAUUGACCUGAAAGACUGUCCUGUACUUUCUUCCGGGGGCCAAUGAAGUACAUGAACUCAGGGCCUGUGGUGGCCAUGGUCUGGGAGGGGCUCAGUGUGGUGAAAUCUGGCCGAGUGAUGCUGGGGGGAGGGGGGAACCAAUCCAGCUGAUUCAAAGCCAGGCACCAUUUGUGGGAAUUUCUGCAUUCAAGUUGGCAGGAACGUCAUUCAUAGCAGCAAUUCAGAGGAGAGUGCUGAGAAAGAGAUCCAUCUAUGGUUUAAGCCCGAAGAACUGAUCAACUACAAGUCUUUUUUUUUUUUUUUAAUUAG